rnacentral:rRNA from 1 species
CCUACGGGUGGCUGCAGUGGGGAAUAUUGCACAAUGGGGGAAACCCUGAUGCAGCGACGCCGCGUGAGUGAAGAAGCGUUUCGGCGCGUAAAGCUCUGUCAGCGGGGAAGAAACACGGUUCGCGAGAGCCGCGGACGGUACCCGACCAAGAACCCCCGGCUAACUACGUACCAGCAGCCGCGGUAAUACGUAGGGGGCAAGCGUUAUCCGGGUCCACUGGGGGGAAAGGGAGCGUAGACGGGGAAACAAGUGUGGAGUGAAAGGCCGGGGCCCAACCCCGGGACUGCUCUGGAAACUGCCUGGCUGGAGUACAGGAGAGGUAAGUGGAAUUCCUAGUGGAGCGGUGAAAUGCGUAGAUAUUAGGAGGAACACCAGUGGCGAAGGCGGCUUACUGGACUGUAACUGACGUUGAGGCUCGAAAGCGUGGGGAGCAAACAGGAUUAGAUACCCUGGUAGUC